GGGAAGAACACCAGUGGCGAAGGCGNUCUGCUGGGCCAUAACUGACGCUCAUGGACGAAAGCCAGGGGAGCGAAAGGGAUUAGAUACCCCUGUAGUCCUGGCCNUAAACGAUGAACACUAGGUGUCGGGGGAAUCGACCCCCUCGGUGUCGUAGCCAACGCGUUAAGUGUUCCGCCUGGGGAGUACGCACGCAAGUGUGAAACUCAAAGGAAUUGACGGGGGCCCGCACAAGCGGUGGAGUAUGUGGUUUAAUUCGAUGCAACGCGAAGAACCUUACCAGGGUUUGACAUCCUGCGAACCCCCUGGAAACGGGGGGGUGCCUUCGGGAACGCAGUGACAGGUGGUGCAUGGCUGUCGUCAGCUCGUGUCGUGAGAUGUUGGGUUAAGUCCCGCAACGAGCGCAACCCACGUCGUUAGUUGCCAGCAUUCAGUUGGGCACUCUAGCGAGACCGCCGGUGAUAAACCGGAGGAAGGUGUGGAUGACGUCAAGUCAUCAUGCCCCUUACAUCCUGGGCUACACACGUACUACAAUGCUACGGACAAAGGGCCGCAAGCUCGCGAGAGUUAGCAAAUCCCAUAAACCGUGGCUCAGUUCAGAUCGUAGGCUGCAACUCGCCUACGUGAAGGAGGAAUCGCUAGUAAUCGCAGGUCAGCAUACUGCGGUGAAUACGUUCCCGGGCCUUGUACACACCGCCCGUCACNCCAUGGAAGUUGGCCACGCCCGAAGUCGUUACUCCAACCCUUGUGGAGGAGGACGCCGAAGGUGGGGCUGAUGACUGGGGUGAAGUCG
rnacentral:rRNA from 1 species